AGGGGUAUAGCCAAGUGGUAAGGCAGGAGGUUUUGAUCCUCCCAUGCGCAGGUUCGAGUCCUGCUACCCCUGCCA
rnacentral:tRNA from 16 species